UGGGGGAUAUUGCACAAUGGGCGAAAGCCUGAUGCAGCGACGCCGCGUGGGGGAUGAAGGCUUUCGGGUUGUAAACCUCUUUCGCUAUCGAACAAGGCCCGCUUAGGGUGGGUUGAGGGUAGGUGGAGAAGAAGCGCCGGCUAACUACGUGCCAGCAGCCGCGGUAACACGUAGGGCGCGAGCGUUGUCCGGAAUUAUUGGGCGUAAAGGGCUUGUAGGCGGCUUGUUGCGCCUGCUGUGAAAACGCGGGGCUUAACUUCGCGCGUGCAGUGGGUACGGGCAGGCUUGAGUGUGGUAGGGGUGACUGGAAUUCCAGGUGUAGCGGUGGAAUGCGCAGAUAUCUGGAGGAACACCGAUGGCGAAGGCAGGUCACUGGGCCAUUACUGACGCUGAGGAGCGAAAGCAUGGGUAGCGAACAGG
rnacentral:rRNA from 1 species